rnacentral:antisense_RNA from 1 species
CUUCACCGACCCCAACAGCAGCGGCCGGCCCUGCGGACGGUCCUGCCCGUACGUGGCCAGCAGGGCCUGCGCCUC